AGAACAACAGGGAUUGCCCUAGUAACGGCGAGUGAAGCGGCAACAGCUCAAAUUUGAAAUCUGGCUCUCUUUGGGGGUCCGAGUUGUAAUUUGCAGAGGAUGCUUUGGCAUUGGCGGCGGUCUAAGUUCCUUGGAACAGGACAUCGCAGAGGGUGAGAAUCCCGUACGUGGGCGCCUGCCUUUGCCGUGUAAAGCUCCUUCGACGAGUCGAGUUGUUUGGGAAUGCAGCUCUAAAUGGGAGGUAAAUUUCUUCUAAAGCUAAAUACCGGCCAGAGACCGAUAGCGCACAAGUAGAGUGAUCGAAAGAUGAAAAGUACUUUGGAAAGAGAGUCAAAAAGCACGUGAAAUUGUUGAAAGGGAAGCGCUUGCAGCCAGACUUGCCCGCAGUUGCUCACCUAGGCUUUGGCCUGGGGCACUCUUCUGCGGGCAGGCCAGCAUCAGUUUGGGCGGUCGGACAAAGGCCUCUGUCAAGUAUCUCCCUUCGGGGUGACCUUAUAGGGGAGGCGUAAUGCGACCAGCCCGGACUGAGGUCCGCGCAUCUGCUAGGAUGCUGGCGUAAUGGCUGUAAGCGGCCCGUCUUGAAACACGGACCAAGGAGUCUAACAUCUAUGCGAGUGUUUGGGUGUCAAGCCCGGGCGCGCAAUGAAAGUGAACGGAGGUGGGAACCCUUUGGGUGCACCAUCGACCGAUCCUGAUGUCUUCGGAUGGAUUUGAGUAAGAGCAUAGCUGUUGGGACCCGAAAGAUGGUGAACUAUGCUUGAAUAGGGUGAAGCCAGAGGAAACUCUGGUGGAGGCUCGCAGCGGUUCUGACGUGCAAAUCGAUCGUCAAUUUGGCAUAGGGGCGAAAGACUAAUCGAACCAUCUAGUAGCUGGUUCUGCGA
rnacentral:rRNA from 1 species